rnacentral:rRNA from 1 species
AGAGUUUGAUCCUGGCUCAGAUUGAACGCUGGCGGCGUGCCUAACACAUGCAAGUCGAGCGGUAACAGGCGUAGCAAUACGUGCUGACGAGCGGCGAACGGGUGAGCAAUGCUUCGGAAUCUGCCCAAUGAUGGGGAAUAACCAGUCGAAAGACUGGCUAAUACCGCAUACGCCCUUCGGGGGAAAGCGGGGGAUCGCAAGACCUCGCGUCGAUGGAUGAGCCGAAGUCGGAUUAGCUAGUUGGUAGGGUAACGGCCUACCAAGGCGACGAUCCGUAGCUGGUCUGAGAGGACGACCAGCCACACUGGGACUGAGACACGGCCCAGACUCCUACGGGAGGCAGCAGUGGGGAAUAUUGGACAAUGGGGGCAACCCUGAUCCAGCGACGCCGCGUGUGUGAAGAAGGCCUGCGGGUUGUAAAGCACUUUUAGUGGGGAUGAAAAGCACAUCACUAACACUGGUGUGUCUGACCAACCCAAAGAAAAGCACCGA